CAGCAGCCGCGGUAACACGUAGGGGGCGAGCGUUGUCCGAAGUUACUGGGCGUAAAGAGCGCGUAGGCUGGUCUUUAAGUGAGUGGUGAAAGGUUCGGGCUCAACCCGGACACUGCCUUUCAUACUGGGGACCUUGAGUGUGGGAGAGGCGAGUGGAAUGGUCGGUGUAGCGGUGAAAUGCGUAGAUAUCGAUCGGAACACCCAUGGCGAAGGCAGCUCGCUGGCCUAACACUGACGCUGAGGCGCGAAAGCGUGGGGAGCAAACAGGAUUAGAUACCCCCGUAGUCCCUGUCUCUUAUAC
rnacentral:rRNA from 1 species